UACGGAGGGAGCAAGCGUUACUCGGAAUUAUUGGGCGUAAAGGGCGCGUAGGCGAUUUGGCAAGUCUUGUGUGAAAGCCCACAGCCUAACUGUGGAGGUGCACAAGAUACUGCUGAAUUUGAGUUCAGGAGAGGAAGGCAGAAUUCCCGGUGUAGCGGUGAAAUGCGUAGAUAUCGGGAGGAAUACCAGUGGCGAAGGCGGCCUUCUGGACUGACACUGACGCUGAGGCGCGAAAGCUAGGGGAGCAAACGGG
rnacentral:rRNA from 1 species